UUGAAGAGUUUGAUCAUGGCUCAGAUUGAACGCUGGCGGCAGGCCUAACACAUGCAAGUCGAACGGUAACA
rnacentral:rRNA from 1 species